rnacentral:lncRNA from 1 species
GUGCCAUUGUUGGCAGGGUUGCAGCACUUAUAACGGGAAUGAAGCAUUUAGGAGAGAGGUAUGAUGAUGAAGAUGUUCACAGGCUCAUGUGGGCUUUAAUUCUGUGGUUUCUUGUUGGUGCUUUGACAGUGAUGUACCUGGAGUAUCGAUCAUUGUAGGCAGGGGUGCCAUUGUUGUUGGGGUUGCAGCACUUAUAACUGGAAUGAAGCAUUUAGGAGAGAGGUAUGAUGAUGAAGAUGUUCACAGGCUCAUGUGGGCUUUAAUUCUGUGGUUUCUUGUUGGUGCUUUGACAGUGAUGUACCUGGAGUAUCGUGAGAGGAAGAGAAGGGGGGAUAGAAUAUCCGGCAGAAGCAAUUGGGUUCUGGGUAGUGGUGAGGAGGAGGACAUUGACCUCCUCAGUCCAAGCCAGGCAAUGGCAGAGAAAGACUCACGGUCCUCUGAUCGCAUGGAGGUUCAGCUAGAACCAAUAAGCAGAUAGAGAUUCGCAUAUAGGCAUGUUUGUAAAUCUUUUAUCACAAAUUUUGGGGUUGUUUCUAGUCCAGCAGUUGCCUGUUUUAAUCGCAAGGAUUGUUGUUGAUAAAGAUCUACAUAUUACUAUAUGCCAAGAGAUUGGUUCUGUUCCAACUUUUGGGUCCCGGAGAGGAGAUACUCAGCUGCCUGUAUUGACCCCAGCAACGUUUAUUGAGGUAGUCCUAACUAGGAGACAGCAAAUUGUUAUAUUGUGUACAUUAGUGAUGUACGGUUAAGUUCAUACUUACUCAGCUGCCUGUUUUGAUCCCGGCAACGUUUAUUGAGGUAGUUCUAACUAGGAGACAGCAAAUUGUUAUAUUGUGUACAUUAGUGAUGUACGGUUAAGUUCAUACUUCUUAGAAUGGAUUUGAACUAUGUUCCUCCACCGUGGCUAAAGUGAAAAAGAAACAAUGAGAAAUAGGAUAAACCGGAAUUAUGCGGGUACAAACAAAUUUAUGUUGCAUUUCAGUUUUUCUUCAUGCAUUAUAUUAUACUGAUUGUUCGGGCAUUUUGUUGCAAUUUCAGUGUUAUUUGAAUCCAUGCGCACUGGAGUAGAGCUGUCCCUCCAUUCAUGCACGAUUUAUCUAUAUAUGUGGAUAAGUAUUCUGCAUGAAUUAUUGGAUUAUUGAUAUCUUUGUUUCACAAGAAUUACACGUAACAAUUUCGUAAGUGUUAAUGAGACUAAUGAACUCUUUCAAUACAAGGAGAAAUACAUAGUUGCUGCAUUCUUAUUGAGAAUUUCACGUAUCAUCAGCAUAAAGUAGGCCUUUGAAUCAAGAUCUAAUGACGUAUUUACUUCUUGAACGGCAAAGAGGUGUAGCAAGUGUUGAUGAACCUUCCUGGAUAGGAACUGUUACCAGGUGCUCUUCAUAUAUACUCCAGCGUCCCAAAUGAAACUUCUGGAGAUUUUUGUAUCUUCCAUCUCUCUUCUGCAAGAACAGUUACCCCAACAGAGCUGAUCUAGUGGUCAAAGAGUUAGUCGGUGCACAAAAUAUUUGGCGUUCACGCAUGAUUUGAGGAAGGACCACACUCCGAGGGGUGUGAUGUAGGCAACCUAUCUUGAAUCUUGAUGUAAGUAUCAAUAGCUAAUUCCACGGCUUGAAUCUACAAUAUUGGAAAUUUAAGUAUAAUAAAAAAUGAUACUAGAUGAAUUCUGC